rnacentral:rRNA from 1 species
GACGAACCGUGCGAACGUUAUUCGGAAUCAUUGGGCGUAAAGCGCGUGUAGGCGGUCCGGUAAGUCCGCUGUGAAAGUCGAGGGCUCAACCCUCGAAUGCCGGUGGAUACUGUCGGGCUUGAGUACGGGAGAGGCGAGUGGAAUUCCUGGUGUAGCGGUGAAAUGCGCAGAUAUCAGGAGGAACACCGAUUGCGAAGGCAGCUCGCUGGAACGUUACUGACGCUGAGACGCGAAAGCGUGGGGAGCAAACAGG